CUGAGUUCAUGCCCUUGCGGGUAGAUCUCCCACCCUUGAAUAUCUAAACCUUUGUUGCUUUGGCGGGCCGCUUCGGCUACCGGCUCCGGCUGGUGAGUGCCCGCCAGAGAACCUUAAACUCUGAAUUACAGUGUCGUCUGAGUACUAUAAAAUAGUUA
rnacentral:misc_RNA from 1 species